UCCAGACUCCUACGGGAGGCAGCAGUGGGGAAUAUUGCACAAUGGGGGAAACCCUGAUGCAGCAACGCCGCGUGAGCGAUGAAGUAUUUCGGUAUGUAAACUUCUAUCAGCAGGGAAGAAAAUGACGGUACCUGACUAAGAAGCCCCGGCUAACUACGUGCCAGCAGCCGCGGUAAUACGUAGGGGGCAAGCGUUAUCCGGAUUUACUGGGUGUAAAGGGAGCGUAGGCGGCAGCGCAAGUCUGGAGUGAAAUGCCGGGGCCCAACCCCGGAACUGCUUUGGAAACUGUGCAGCUCGAGUGCAGGAGAGGUAAGCGGAAUUCCUAGUGUAGCGGUGAAAUGCGUAGAUAUUAGGAGGAGCACCAGUGGCGAAGGCGGCUUACUGGACUGUAACUGACGUUGAGGCUCGAAAGCGUGGGGAGCAAACAGGAUUAGAUACCCGGGUA
rnacentral:rRNA from 1 species